rnacentral:rRNA from 1 species
UUUUAAAGGGAUUAAUGGCUUUUUUUGUGCGUUUGAUUCUGGCGCAAUAUAAACGUUAUCCGAACACUUAAAACAUGCUAAUAAAACAAAAAGUCUUUUUUGUUGUGUUUGGAGAGUAAUAUAAAAGUAAUUAUUCAUUAAAUAUACGAAAAAACGUAUCGAAACAAAAAAUUUCGAAUAAGGUUGACCAUUUUGUGUUUAACUUUUAUAAGAUUAGAUAGUUGAUUAGCCUUAAUUUUUCAAGUCAACGAUCUUUAGCAGUCUUUUUCGAUUCUUCUGCCUCAAUAGCAGUUGCUAUAUUUCUUUUAGGAAUCAGCAGUUAGGAAUCUUGAACAAUAAAAUAACUUUUGAUUCAGUGAUUCGGAUUAGAGCCUUAUUGCGUGUUUGUAUUUUGGUCUACUAAAAAGAAAAAAUUGAUUUCAAACAAGUUUUCUUUUAAGUAGUACUUAUACUACUACUUAUUGUAAAACUUAAAAAUUAAUGCUGAUAAAUCUGGUGCCAGAAGUCUCGGUAAUGCCUGAAGCAUGAACGUUAUAUCAAUUAUUAGAUUUAAAUAGUAAAAAGGAAGAGUCACAAGCUUUUAAAUAAAAUCCAGUUCGUGGGAUUAUGAAAAGAAACUAAGAUUCUUUAAUGUUAUUUCAGAAGUUAGAAUAAAAAAGGUAACGUUAAUAUGUUUCAAUUAUUUUUAGAAUUUCAAAGGUUAAUGCAAUCUUCUCGAUAAAAGCAUCAAUUCUUUGGUUACGAAAGCUUAAGUAUCAAAAGGAAUUAGAGACUCCUGUAGUUUAAGCCGUCAAUAAAAAUCGUAUUUUUCAUACUCGUUUUUGAUAAAAGAAUAAAGGUAAUUCGAUUAAUCUAAAAAGUAUUAUCGCAAGAUUGAAAUUUAAAGAAUCAGACGAGAAAGAAGCUCGCCCGUGGAUCGUGCUAUUUAAUUCGAUAAAACGCGCAAAUCUUACCAAAACUUGUAAUUUAAUCACGUAUUAGAUAACUUUUAUUUUUCGUUUAAACAGUUGUUGCAUGGUUGUCGUCAGUUCUUAUUUUGUAAUAUUCAGUUAAUUCUGUUAAAGGACGAAACUUUUAUUUUAAGGUAAAUAAAUUCCUAAAAAGAUGUUUUGAUAAAAAACACGAAAAAAAAUGACUUCUAAAUCCUUAUGAUGCUCAUGUUUUGGGCUUUGAAUGCGAUACAAUGUAAGUAAACAAAACAUUAAAAUCUAUUUAAAAUUUGAAAUUUAAAUAUAAAAUCUUACUUUGUUCAGAUUGUUUUUUGAAACUCAAAAACAUAAAGAAGGAAUGGACAGUAAUGGCUAGUUAUUCAGCGGUCAUGAAACUUUUUAUUUCUUUCUAUACUUUUCGCCCGUCGCUUCUUGAAAUUAAACUCUAAUAAGCUGAAAAAAACGAUAAAGUUUAGUUAUUAUUACUGUUUAAAAGCUUUAAAAAAUUUUUUAUACAUUAGUUUUUGAAAUUAUGAAUAAGUCGUAACAAAGUAAUCGUAGAUGAAUCUGCGGUUGGAAUAAG